CUCGCUUAUGUGAUAUGCAUCUAGUUUAGAAUCUGUGAUCGCUUCGGUCACCGAAUUGUAAUCUAAAGGGGCUAUCAAAAGGGGAAGUCGAGGUAUAAGUUCCUUGGAAAAGGACGUCAAAGAGGGUGAAAACCCCGUAUGCAGCCUCUGCUGAACCGAAUGAUGACCUUCUGAGAGUCGGGUUGUUUGGGAUUGCAGCCCUAAAUGGGAGAUAAACUUCUUCUAAGGCUAAAUAUCUAUGGGAAACCGAUAGCGAACAAGUACUGUGAAGGAAAGGUGAAAAGAACUUUGAAAAGAGAGUUAAACAGUACGUGAAAUUGCCAAAGGGAAGGGUAGGGGGUCAGAGAUGCGGCCUAGGAUUCAGCCUUGCUUUUGCUUGGUGUUUUUCCUGCGUUGCAGGCCAACGUCGGUUUUGGGCACUGGAGAAGGGUAGGAGGAACGUGGCACCUCUCGGGGUGUGUUAUAGCCUCCUACUGGAUACAGCGACCGAGACCGAGGAACGCAGCGUACUCGUAAGAGCGGGCCUUCGGGCACCUUUACGCUUAGGGCGUUGGCAUAAUGGCCCUCUACCACCCGUCUUGAA
rnacentral:rRNA from 1 species